UACGGGGGGAGCAAGCGUUGUUCGGAUUUACUGGGCGUAAAGGGCGCGUAGGCGGCCAGUGCAAGUCAGUUGUGAAAUCUCCGGGCUUAACUCGGAAAGGUCAACUGAUACUGCUCGGCUAGAGUGCGGAAGGGGCAACUGGAAUUCUCGGUGUAGCGGUGAAAUGCGUAGAUAUCGAGAGGAACACCUGCGGCGAAGGCGGGUUGCUGGGCCGACACUGACGCUGAAGUGCGAAAGCUAGGGGAGCGAACGGG
rnacentral:rRNA from 1 species